GCACAAUAUGAGCCUGCUUGCCCAGGAAAGGACAAUAUUAGAAUGGCUGCCCAGAAAAGAGACAAAUGAGACUGCCUGCCCUGGAGGGGACCACAAGAGCCUGCCUGCCAGGAGAGGACAAUAUGAGGAUGGCUGCCCAGGAAAAAGCAAUAUGAGGCGAUUUUCCCAGCAAAUAGCAAUAUGAGGCUGCCUGCCCUGGAGGGGACAACAAGAGCCUGCCUGCCAGGAGAGGACAAUAUGAGGCUGCCUGCCCAGAGCAUGCUGAACAUAAUGCCCUGCAUGCAAACUCAAUAAAACCAGCUACAUGGACAUACAAAAUAAUAAUCUGGACUUAACUCAUUGACGUCUAUGGAAAAGUUGGGACUGCUGGGAUCUGUGGAAUUCCCAGUUGGACCCCCACCAAUCCGCUACCUAUCCCCUAGCCUGUAGAAGAUAUAUCUUCCGGAUGGUGGUUACACAUGUCGAAACAUGUGAUGGAGUGGCGCUAUUCCAGUUCCUGCACCACCUCAUUGCUUUUGUUUUAGGGUUAUCAGGAAGAAAAAAUAUCCUGAACUGGACCAAAGCCAAUGGCAGAGGAAGCUAGAAGUACUGAACCUGGAAAUUAUACAGAUUGUUCUUGUUUUUGUCGUUU